rnacentral:rRNA from 1 species
GAUGAACGCUAGCGGCAGGCUUAACACAUGCAAGUCGAGGGGCAGCGGGUUUGUAGCAAUACAGAUGCCGGCGACCGGCGCAAGGGUGCGUAACGCGUGAGCGACAUGCCCGUCUCAGGGGGAUAAUCCGGAGAAAUCCGGUCUAAUACCCCAUGGUCCCGUUGGGAUGCAUGUCCUGAUGGGUAAAGAUACGUCGGAGACGGAUUGGCUCGCGUGACAUUAGCUGGACGGCGGGGUAACGGCCCACCGUGGCUACGAUGUCUAGGGGAACUGAGAGGUUGGUCCCCCACACUGGAACUGAGACACGGUCCAGACUCCUACGGGAGGCAGCAGUGAGGAAUAUUGGACAAUGGGCGGAAGCCUGAUCCAGCCAUGCCGCGCGAAGGAUUACGGUCCUAUGGAUUUUAAACUUCUUUUGCACGGGAGCAAUAAGGGUCACGCGUGGCCCGAUGAGAGUACCGUGCGAAUAAGCAUCGGCUAACUCCGUGCCAGCAGCCGCGGUAAUACGGAGGAUGCGAGCGUUAUCCGGAUUCAUUGGGUUUAAAGGGUGCGUAGGCGGUGGCGUAAGUCAGCGGUGAAAUUCACGGGCUCAACCCGUGCCGUGCCGUUGAUACUGCGUUGCUGGAGUACUGUCGCCGUGGGAGGAAUGUGUGGUGUAGCGGUGAAAUGCAUAGAUAUCACACAGAACACCGAUUGCGAAGGCAUCUCACGAGGCAGGGACUGACGCUGAUGCACGAAAGUGCGGGGAUCAAACAGGAUUAGAUACCCUGGUAGUCCGCACAGUAAACGAUGAUGACUAGCUGUCGGCGAUAGACAGUCGGUGGCUAAGCGAAAGCGAUAAGUCAUCCACCUGGGGAGUACGACCGCAAGGUUGAAACUCAAAGGAAUUGACGGGGGCCCGCACAAGCGGAGGAACAUGUGGUUUAAUUCGAUGAUACGCGAGGAACCUUACCCGGGCUCGAACGGUGCAGGAAGCCUUCAGAGAUGGAGGCGCUCUUCGGAGCCUGUAUCGAGGUGCUGCAUGGUUGUCGUCAGCUCGUGCCGUGAGGUGUCGGCUUAAGUGCCAUAACGAGCGCAACCCUUGCUGACAGUUGCCAUCAGGUAAAGCUGGGGACUCUGUCGGGACUGCCACCGUAAGGUGUGAGGAAGGGGGGGAUGACGUCAAAUCAGCACGGCCCUUAUGUCCGGGGCGACACACGUGUUACAAUGGUGGGUACAGCGGGAAGCUACGCGGCGACGCGGUGCAAAUCUCGAAAACCCAUCCCAGUUCGGAUCGGAGUCUGCAACCCGACUCCGUGAAGUUGGAUUCGCUAGUAAUCGCGCAUCAGCCAUGGCGCGGUGAAUACGUUCCCGGGCCUUGUACACACCGCCCGUCAAGCCAUGGAAGCCGGGGGUGCCUGAAGUCCGUUACCGCAAGGAUCGGCCUAGGGCAAAACUGGUAACUGGGGCUA